rnacentral:misc_RNA from 1 species
AAGGAUCAUUAACAAAUCAUUUGUGGUGCGGGAGCAAUCCCCACCAUAUCAACCCGAACCCGUGCUUCGGCCGGGCUAGGUGUGUGCUUUCCUCUCGAGGGAAGCACACCGGUGAAGAUUGCGGCUUUGGCUGCAGUCCGAUCCACAUGGACGCUUGUAUGUUUGACAGAGUUAGUUGACACUUUAAAAUGACAACUUUUAACAAUGGAUCUCUUGGCUCUU